rnacentral:rRNA from 1 species
UUUUUUAAUUGAAAACUUGUAUGAAUGGUUCAAUGAGAUAUUAGCUGUCUCAUAAAAAUUUUAAUAGAAAUUAAUUUUUUAGUUAAAAAGCUAAAAUUUAAUUAAAAGACGAGAAGACCCUAUAGAGUUUUAUAUAAUUUAAGUUAUAGUUUAUUUAUAAAAUUUAAAAUUUUAAUUUAAAUUAUAUUUUGUUGGGGUGACAGUAAAAUUUAAUAAUCUUUUAUUUAAUUUUAACAAUGAUUUUUGAUUUAUUGAUCCAUUUUUAUUGAUUAUAAGAUUAAAUUACCUUAGGGAUAACAGCGUAAUUUUUUUGAAGAGUUCUUAUCGAUAAAAAUUUUUGC